GAUGAAGAACGUAGCGAAAUGCGAUACUUGGUGUGAAUUGCAGAAUCCCGUGAACCAUCGAGUCUUUGAACGCAAGUUGCGCCCGAAGCCAUUAGGCCGAGGGCACGCCUGCCUGGGCGUCACACGUCGUUGCCCCCCCAUCUACUCCUUCGGGAUUGCGGGGGGCGGAUGAUGGCCUCCCGUGCGCCUCGUCGCGCGGUUGGCAUAAAUGCCAAGUCCUCGGCGACACACGCCACGACAAUCGGUGGUUGCGAAACCUCGGUUGCCCGUCGUGUGCGGUCGUCGCGCAUCGAGGGCUCGAAAAAAUUGCCGGGCUCCGGCUCGGCUUUCAACGCGACCCAAGGUCAGGCGGGGUUACCCGCUGAAUUUAAGCAUAUCAAUAAGCGGAGGA
rnacentral:misc_RNA from 1 species